rnacentral:snRNA from 1 species
AACAAUACGGUUAACCGACGGU